rnacentral:rRNA from 1 species
UACGGAGGGGGCUAGCGUUGUUCGGAAUUACUGGGCGUAAAGCGCGCGUAGGCGGCUUUGUAAGUUAGAGGUGAAAGCCCGAAGCUCAACUUUGGAAUUGCCUUUAAGACUGCAUCGCUAGAAUUGUGGAGAGGUAAGUGGAAUUCCGAGUGUAGAGGUGAAAUUCGUAGAUAUUCGGAAGAACACCAGUGGCGAAGGCGGCUCACUGGCCCGGUACUGACGCUGAGGUGCGAAAGCGUGGGGAGCAAACAGG